GCCAGGUGUGGUGGUGCAUGCCUGUAGUCCCAGCUACUUGGGAGGCUGAGGCACGAGAAUUACUUGAGCCCAGGAGGCAGAGGUUGCAGUGAUCCAAGAUCAUGCCACUGCACUGCACCCUGGGCGAUACAGUGAGAUCCUGUCUCAU
rnacentral:SRP_RNA from 1 species